UACGGAGGGUGCGAGCGUUGUCCGGAAUCACUGGGCGUAAAGGGCGCGUAGGCGGCCUGAUAAGUAGGGGGUGAAAUCCUGCGGCUUAACCGCAGGGCUGCCUUCUAAACUGUCAGGCUCGAGCACAGUAGAGGCAGGUGGAAUUUCCGGUGUAGCGGUGAAAUGCGUAGAGAUCGGAAGGAACACCAGUGGCGAAGGCGGCUACCUGGCCUAAUACUGACACUGAGGCACGAAAGCGUGGGGAGCAAACAGG
rnacentral:rRNA from 1 species